UACGGGGGGGGUAAGCGUUGUUCGGAAUUACUGGGCGUAAAGGGCUCGUAGGCGGCCAACUAAGUCAUACGUGAAAUCCCUCAGCUUAACUGGGGAACUGCGUGUGAUACUGGAUGGCUUGGAUUUGGGAGAGGGAUGCGGAAUUCCAGGUGUAGCGGUGAAAUGCGUAGAUAUCUGGAGGAAUACCGGUGGCGAAGGCGGCAUCCUGGACCGAGAUUGACGCUGAGGAGCGAAAGCUAGGGGAGCAAACGGG
rnacentral:rRNA from 1 species